UUAAAAUUACUGUUCUGCCUUCAGCCAUCGUUUUUACGUACAGAGUAGACGACACGCUGUCACUUACAACUGCCAACAUACUAUGAACAAUUUUAUUAAUUGUCGUUCCGAAACAUUACUGAUCGUGUCUGCGUUAAUCUGUCGAAAAAGAGUAGCACUUGGAAAUGUACCGAUGCUGGACAUUUUGGAUGAACACUGGAAUCCCAGUUCUCAAUAGCGGGCUUCAUACAUACAUGUAGUUGGUGCAACGACGAUCGUGAACUGCUGAACAGGUUGCAACACCACUAGAGAAAAAAGAGUGACAGCGGUGCAGUGUGUGUACAAAGGGAGAGCUCGUGCCAUCAGCGUUCCACCCACCGGAAAUCGUCGACAUGGAGAUCAGCCGUACUCAAACAUCACUAUUUUGCCGGUCGUUAGAGAUCGACUUGAACAAGUGCAAUAUCACCACAUGAGAAAUGUCUUGAAAAUUUAGUUUUAGUAAUACUUCUACUUCUAUUACGUAUUUGCCGGGACGAAUAACCGUACGAUGUAUGGUACUAGAUCAUUUUUAUAUUUAGUUUUGAAAGUUGCAGUUUAAUCGCUAUUUUUUAUUUUAGCAGUUUAACAGUGAGUUCCAACAUCGUAGUGAAAGUUAUGGUUUUAAUAAUUCUAGUUUUCCGGCAUAUGCCAUAUUUUAUUGUGUGCCAGAGGGAUAACAUACCAGGUUUUAUCCCUAGCCAUGCCAGUGGCAACGCCAGAGGCACUUGCCAGUGCCAGGUUUUACACCCUGCCCGACGAAAGUGCUUUCUCAGCAACUUUAUUUGACAUAAAUGCCUUUAACCGCUUGGCUUCCCAUUGCUUCUGUCACGUCGUGAAGCACCAGAUUUAUUGGGCUUCUUGCCGGCGAGAUACUCAAUAACUAAAUGAUAAUAGGCAAAAAAUACCGCAUAAGGUCACGCAUAAGGUCAUCAACCCAAGACAUGCACAUACGAGUAUAAUGUUGCCACGCGCAACUAUUGCGCGUAGCCACUACACUACAGCUUCCUUGUCCGUUCUUAAAAUUCGAUCAUUUGACUUCCAUUUGCAGCGAGACUGAGCUUCUCUAGACCGAUGAAAAUAAUAUUCAGACAAUAGACAUCUCCAUGGCGAGAAGAAUGCGCAAACACAGUGCAGCGAAUGCUAAACAGAGGUGCCGACAGCAGUUUUCAAAUUCCAGAUGACAACAACAACACCACAUUUCCCAGACAAGGAAGACACUAUACGACCUUGCCAUAUGUCUCUUUUAGACGCGUGGCUUCCCGUUGACCAGACAGCAGAGCACCGUGCACCAUUGACCAGUAUUUGGGAUGGGUGGCCUCGCCGGCAAAUAACAAUCCCGGAACUUUGGUUACCCACCCACCGAUGUCUUUCUCAUACCAAUAUUCACUGCUGGCCAAGUCCUCGGUAGCCAGCCCUUGCUUGACCAUUUCCAUGGUGAUAUGGCUGUACGCGCCGCGAAAUAAAUCAUUCUGCGACCAUCUUCCCCUGCAUUUAUGAUCAUUCACAUACAUUUAUCAUAAAAAGCUUUGAAGACAAUUAGCUACCUGAGGACUUUCUUAGGUUCUGGAACGACUUUUCCGGUGCUUUGUCGUAGCAACGCCGUCACUGAAGCGGAAACCUCCGCAUCUGUCAGACUCUCCAUUUCCACUGCUUGCGAUCCACCCAGCAUGACUAUCAGUGUAUUGUUCAUUGUAGGUGACUGCAUGACGAAGGCAAUUGCUCGCGCCCAAGGCUGUCCGGGCUGUGACAGAUACGAAACUUUAUAUUACAUGUAAUACUCAUUCAUCGCUGCUUAAAGGAUUACUAGUAAAUAAUUAUUGUACGAAGCGACAAUUUCUUGUUUCGCGAAGGAGUGCAACAACUGUGGGAAUUGCAAAGGCUUACAUAUGUUUUAUUUCGGUCAACAGUGAUGUCAUUUCCGCUGUCAAAUAAGUACGCAUAAUACGGCGGCAAAGUCCCAUUCCACCAUUCUUCCUCAUAUACGAGAUGCAGCUUUCCCAGCGUACCAAACCCGACACUCUGUAUGGCCGCACGUUUGCGCUCCGAUAACGGCGGAUCGAAAAGGUCAUCCAGAUGUGAUUUUAGAUGUCCAACGGCGGCCGUCAUAAUCACGUGAUCGGCACUUAGUUCCGUGCCGUUCGAUAGCGUAACAGUUAGCGGCGGAGCCUGUUCAGGACGAAAGCGGACCCGCUUGACAAGCGCACCGAACUGAAUGUCCUUGAUAGCAUCCGGGGUCCACAUUUUCAGGACAUCAGUGUAAGGAACGUUGAGGUCGAUGGCGUGGGGACCGACGAUGGAGAUGUUCGCCACCGAGUGAAUACUCAGAUUGAAGAAAUUGUCGGCACCAUAAUCCGCUUUUUGCAGCCUGUUUAAUUUUACAGAUUGAUCAUGAUUUUUAGAAUACCUGAAGCUUGAAAACAAUUGAGGUGACUCACCGCACAUACGCGUCGUAUGUCUGGUCAGCCGCCUCGAUUUUAUCCUCCGCAACGCUCUUCCUGAUUUUCUGAUAGGAAUUCAACAGAUGCUGUCCCAACGAUAAGCCGGUUUCGGAGAGAAAUGCGUUGUACGCUGAUUUGUUGAAAAGCAUCUCAUCCAACGUGGCGUGGAUCUGAAGCCGCGUCUCGACGUUCGUGACCUUAGAAAACCACCCAAGGGAUAAAUCAUGUUGGCUCCAAUCGCUUAGUGUUUAUAAUGUGCGCUCACUUCCGCUCCAUUUGCAUUUAAUAGCAAAAUGUUGCUGUCCUCUUCCUCUUUGUUCGGAUCAUCUUUCCGCAGAUCGUACGCUUUGGCCAAUAAGUUUCUUGAUUGUGCGAAGUCGUACAAUGGAUUGCUGUGUCCGUGCACCCAUUGACCUCCCAAUUCGAGCCACCCUGGAAAUAUUAUGCAGCGUGUGGAGCAAAGAAUCGAAAUGUAAAAUGUUUAAACUUGGUAAGAUGCUUUUUGAGAGGACGCAGGAAAAGCGGUCCACUCAGUUCCUGAAGCAGAGAAUCAUUAUUGCUUUAAUGCGAGGUAAUGCUGCUUGCGUUCAGGAAACCUUCUGCAUCGGGAGGAGGCUGGAUGAAGUGUACUAUGUGUUGCAAUAAUGUAUUGCGUGAUUUAGCGUUUAAACAAUGUUCAUUUGUGUAACCCAAUAAAAAUUUUCCUUUAUCCAUCAGUAUGAUUUCCUGAAUAAAUUUUGUAUUUUGCAGUCAAGAAUUGCAAUCCACGUUAAUGGCUGAUAAAGCACCAUCAGCGGUGAAGAGCGCUUGCACUAAUUUUUUGUCACAACGCUAUUAGAUGUCAUUAACUUGCCAUAAAAUUUUGUGAAAUCAAUGUGUACGAGUAGUAAUUUUUCAGCACUGCCGAUACAGUUACCUUCUCCCGUUUCACUGGGCACACUCCAUAAUCGUCCACCAUAGCGAUUUGAUGCCUCCAGCAAAGCCACCUCGAAUCCGGCUGUGAUUAAUU